UCCCUCUCAGGGUCACACCUGGAGAGCUUCCAGUACUCCACCAGUCUUGGCUAUGGGAGGAAGAGUCAAGCAGAGGCAUACCCAUUCCAUUCCUAGCUUGGGCAGUGGCUAGCGAGUGGAAGACAAUCUGCUAUAAGU
rnacentral:snoRNA from 1 species